rnacentral:rRNA from 1 species
UACGGGGGGGGCAAGCGUUGUUCGGAAUUACUGGGCGUAAAGGGCUCGUAGGCGGCCAACUAAGUCGGAUGUGAAAUCCCCAAGCUUAACUUGGGAACUGCAUCCGAUACUGGAUGGCUUGAAUCCGGGAGAGGGAUGCAGAAUUCCAGGGUGUAGCGGUGAAAAUGCGUAGAUAUCUGGAGGAAUACCGGUGGCGAAGGCGGCAUCCUGGACCGGCAUUGACGCUGAGGAGCGAAAAGCUAAGGGGGAGCAAACGGGGGAAUUUA